GACAGAGGGUGCAAACGUUGUUCGGAAUUACUGGGCCUAAAGCGCACGUAGGUGGUCUGCUAAGUCAAGUGUGAAAUCCCCCGGCUCAACCGGGGAAUUGCGCUCGAUACUGGCAGGCUCGAGGUUGGUAGGGGUGAGCGGAACUCCAGGUGGAGCGGUGAAAUGCGUAGAUAUCUGGAGGAACACCGGUGGCGAAAGCGGCUCACUGGACCGAAUCUGACACUGAGGUGCGAAAGCUAGGGUAGCAAACGGG
rnacentral:rRNA from 1 species